rnacentral:rRNA from 1 species
AUGAAAUUGAUGCUUCGCAAUUGCCCUACUCAUGGUUUGAAUUUAUGGAUGAUCAUACAAAAAUUUUAUGCCGGUUUGAACUUUUCUUCUAGAAAUCUCUUAGAUUCGGCCGCGGGAGGCACCUUUAUGGAAAUCACAUUAGGAGAUGCUACAAAACUUCUUGAUAAUAUUAUGGCUAAUUAUUCUCAAUGGCACACCGAAAGAUCUUCUAGUAAAAAAGUGCAUGCUAUAGAAGAAAUCAAUGUUUUGAGUGGAAAGAUGGAUGAACUUAUGAAGAUAUUUGCUACUAAAAAUACUCCUCUUGAUCCCAAUGAUAUGCCUUUGUCUUCCUUGAUUGAGAAUAAUAAUGAAUCUAUGGAUGUGAAUUUUGUUGGUAGGAAUAGUUUUGGAAACAAUGCUUAUAGAGGAAAUUUUAAUGCUAGACCGUUCCCUAGUAAUUCCUCUAAUAAUUAUGGAAAUUCCUACAAUAAUUCUUAUGAUAAUUUUAAUAAGAUGCCCUCUGAUUUUGAGAAUAGUGUGAAAGAAUUUAUGAUUUCUCAAAAGAAUUUUAAUGCUUUGCUUGAAGAAAAAUUUCUCAAAGUUGAUGAUUUGGCUAGGAACGUUGAUAGACUUUCGCUUGAUGUUGAUUCUCUUAAAAUUAGAUCUUCCCCUCCUAAGCAUGAUAUCAAUGAGUCUCUCAAAGUAAUGAGAAUUUCCAUUGACGAGUGCAAGGAAAGAACAGCUAGAUUGUGUGCUAAAAAAGAAAGCUUUAUGAAAGCGUGUUCUUCUAGUUUCCAUGAAAAUAAUGAUGAUGAUAUGAAAGUUAUUGAUGCGUCUCUGAUUAGAUCUAUGUUUUGCAAUACGAAUUUUGAUGAUUAUGGGACUGAUGAUGAAUCAACUUUGCCUAGAAGGCGUCCCAAGAAUUCGGAGUCUUUAGAUCUUAAUGCUAAAUUUGGUAAAAGUGAGAUUGGAGAAUCCUCAACUUCCAAUAAUAUUGAACCUACCAUCUCGGAUUUCAAGGAAUUUAUGAUAAUUGUUCUUUAA